AUAUGGAAAAGCCACGACAUAAGCCUCUUGGUCACCCCUUCCGAUCCAACCAUGGAUUCUCCUCCACACAAGAACGAAAAUAGAAUCGCCCUGGAUUUGCCCCCUUCCUCUCCUCCGAUGCUUGCCCCGCGUGCGGCGCCUCCGCUGCAUCAUCAUGAGUACGAGGUGUUCUUCUCCUUGCCAGCGUUGGUCUCCGCCAAGUAAACCAUGGGAUAAUUAAUUCAAUCAGAUGAAGGUGCCGCUUCUUGUGUGAUUUAUUUGUGUGGCGUUCAUGCAUGAUGAUGAUGGUCUUUAGCUUGGACUGAAGUUGGUUGGCGCCUUGCAGCUGCGAAGAUCUGUUUAUACUGAAUUUUCUUAUUUCUGUUCUUUUGUUCCCUUUUUUCUGAUUUAUUCAUGUGGGGUUCAUGCAUGAUGAUGAUGGUCUUGAGCUUGGACUGAACUUGGUUGACGCCUUAGAGCUGAGAAAGAUUCAUUUGUGCUGAUUUUUCUUACUUAUGUUGUUUGUGCAACUGAGUAUGUGGUUACAGAGGUCCACUUUCAGCCAGAGCAUUGAAUUUUUUUACUGGUAGUAGGAGGGCGCCGAGACUAUAGGUUGGUAAAGUUUAGGAUUUGUGCCUUUUUUCAGGUAUAUGUGUCAUUUGUUUAUUAUAUGAUUAGUUGAUAUCGAAGGACUACAGGUUGGUUAAGUUUAUGAUUUGUGCCUUUUUCUGGUAUAUGUGUCAUUAGUUUGUUAUAUGAUUAGUUUAUAUCUGUGGAUGCAUUACUAAAAAGAUUGAAGUUUCCUUCUGGUAUUGUACCUCUCAGUUUGUUUCUAUACUGAGUUAUUUCUUCUACUAGGUAUAUUGGUAUAUUAGGUGACUACGAUGCCGAUGUUAGUCGUUGUGUCAAUUUCACCAUGUUUAAAUCAAGCUGGGAAGCGCACGGUAUGACUGCCAUCGUCAAAAACUAGCUCAGACUCCUCCCAGCCAGUCUCACAUCAAGGGUCGUGCUAAGAAAUACAGGAAUGCUAAGUGAAAGUCCAGCGGAUGGCAACACAAGUCAAAGCUGACGGAAACAUCUCAGCAUUACGUACAGUGCAAGUAAUGACACAUAUGUGAGUUGUCACAUCAUCUUUAUUUUUCGUCAAAGUGGUUUCAUGUUGGAAAAUCAGUAGUAAUCUCCCCACGUACAGAUACAGUUGGAGGGAGCUUCCAUUUAUGUCAGGACUAUUCUCCUGUAAUGUUUUCUAAUGCUCCAUAUCUGUCAGUGUAGGGAGCGUGUAGGGAGCUUCCAGUUUGUGGGUAUUGCCCUUAUUUUUGUCAUCUUGCAUAGUUUUGUAUAGUUUCCCCGUACAUGUAAUUAGUCACGGAUGAGAUUUAUAAUACUGGAAGGAUGAAGUAAUAAAACUUAGAUUUACACUACUGUAAGUACUAUAUCUACUUUGUGUCAUGUUACUGGCUUGCUCCUAAUUCGGUUCUUAGCAGGGGUCCUUGGUGAUCACUUCGUUGUUCUACAAAAGUAAUAAUUUAGAAUUCAUAAUUGGAAGUGCUCAGUUCUCUCUCAUGUUGAUUAUGGAAACUAAUGGUUUACACCAACUGGUAUCCGCUUUGAAAAAAGCCUCCUACUGAUACAGUUGUCAUAGAUGCUUGAUGUCAGCUGCUACUUUAGUAGUCAGUGCAAUAAAAAGCUUCAAACUGAUACAAUCGUUUCAAGGACUUAUAUUUUGAAUAGUGAAUUUUAAAAGCGCACAUGUUCAAGUGGAGGUAAAUCCGAAGCCAUUAUAGUUUACCAGCUAUAUGAAAUUAAACUAGCCCGUAUUGCUAACUGCACUUAUAGGAUAAAUAUAUAUCUUCAAUAUGAAGCAAAAGAAUUGCUUGCAGAUAGGCUGCCACAUUUGUAAGAACAUGAAUGAUGUGAUUCUGUUGUAAGUGUUCAUCAUUACUGAUUAGAACACAGUUUUACUAACAUAUUUGCUUGAUUUUGCAAUCAUUAAAAGUAGAGGAAUCGGACGAAUGUUGAAGUCAGGUUAUGCAUUAAAAGGAAUUAUACAAUGAGAUUACAUGACGUAGCAAGCAGAACAUACAAGGAGAUGUCCAAUAUCUUUUAAACUGCAGAGCUAAAGAAAUAGAAUUGCUUCAUAUAAAUGAAAUUACACAAUUAAGUUCUUCAUGACUGUGUACCUGAUCAACAUUUUCUGUAAGUUAGUUAUCUGCAAGACCUUUUGUCUAACUAAAAAAAGGAUAACUGACUAUAACAUCAAAUUCAGUAAACUAAGUCGCACAUUCAUGUAUUAGGUUUCAGAAGCUCAAUAAUUAACCAGUGCUUAAUACAUUUUUAUCACGGAACAACAUGAGUCCAUUGUACAUCUUGAAUCUUCUUUUCUUUUCAAGGAAAAACCAUCAGAAUGGUGCAGCAGUACUGGAAAGUUCAAGUCUAUAUGCAACAUGACUGACAUAUUUAAGUUUUUAGUAUUACAGUGCAGUAUCGUGUGUUCUAGAGCCUGCAUGGUGUAGGUUUAUUUUUUGUUUCUUCCAGUCAUCCUGCAUUAUUGCUCGGGGAGAAGUGAGCUGAUUCAAGUGUAUGAGCUGCACAAAUCUCCAAACCAUGUACGUCUCUAAAAAGUACAGCAAUUAGAUCUCCCUGUAGCAAUAAAUUUUAUUGUAAUCCUCACAUGAUUUUAUUAUUUUAUUUACAGAUAAAAUCAAUUCCUU